rnacentral:rRNA from 1 species
GACGAACGCUGGCGGCGUGCCUAAUACAUGCAAGUCGAACGCUUCUUUCCUCCCGAGUGCUUGCACUCAAUUGGAAAGAGGAGUGGCGGACGGGUGAGUAACACGUGGGUAACCUACCCAUCAGAGGGGGAUAACACUUGGAAACAGGUGCUAAUACCGCAUAACAGUUUAUGCCGCAUGGCAUAAGAGUGAAAGGCGCUUUCGGGUGUCGCUGAUGGCUGGACCCGCGGGGCAUUAGCUAGUCGGUGAGGUAACGGCUCACCAAGGCCACGAUGCAUAGCCGACCUGAGAGGGUGAUCGGCCACACUGGGACUGAGACACGGCCCAGACUCCUACGGGAGGCAGCAGUAGGGAAUCUUCGGCAAUGGACGAAAGUCUGACCGAGCAACGCCGCGUGAGUGAAGAAGGUUUUCGGAUCGUAAAACUCUGUUGUUAGAGAAGAACAAGGACGUUAGUAACUGAACGUCCCCUGACGGUAUCUAACCAGAAAGCCACGGCUAACUACGUG